GGGAAUUCAAUCAUUUACGACAGUGGAGACAAAAAAAAUCAUAUAUCUGAUGUUUAUUCUCUAACCAAUAUACAAAUGAGUUACAUGUAGUAAUUUAAUAUUCCAACUGCUAAGCUUCCUCAUGACCAGGUAAGUAAAACAACAGUAUCUACAGUAUAGCCCUGUCUGCAUAUUCGAUUACCCCUUUGGCCGAUUAGAAAACCCAUCUGUGGAAGAACUGAUAACUUCUUAGUGAGCAUAGAUCUGUUUCUG
rnacentral:lncRNA from 1 species